CUUGCUUCCCGCGUACUACAAAGCCCGAGCAAGGGACAAAGUAAAAUACUACCAAGUGCAGAAUAUUAAUAACUGUGAUUAGUAAUUUGAGAUUAAUAAUUAUGCAACAGAGUGGUAUGUGUAUGACAAUUACUGGACAUAACCUCAAAGUUUUACUUUUUAAUUUAAUAUACACGAAAGUGCAAAGAUUAGGCAUAUUACUGUGGAGUUAGCAGUUACGUAUCUCAAUGAUCUUUGGGAGUUAGUGGCCGGCGUUUCAGAGACUAUAUCGGUCUUCAUUAUCACGAGUUGAUAUGAUGUGUUGUACUCCAUGCAUGAAGCAGGAUUCUCUUGGACUGAAAAUUGGUAUGACUACAGACAGUGAAUAUCUCAGGGCCAUGACCGGAGCGGAAGCCAUUGAGCCGCUAGCAACCACCUGCUGCUUACCUGCCUCCUGGGUGGAGGAGGCGGCGCGGCUUCAGGCUGUAACCUCUGCGCCCAAACGGACAUCUGCAACCUCUUCAUGAUUUCUCUUCUCGAGUCCUUCCGGCUUGUCGAAAAAUUUGUGGUGGUCCUCGACAGCACAGUCAUUCUCAGAUCCGAAUCAAGCGAUCAUUCUCAUCUUGAAUUAACCGGAGUCUCUCCCCGUUUCUUUUAA